GAAUGCUGACAUAAGUAACGAUAAAGCGGGUGAAAAGCCCGCUCGCCGGAAGACCAAGGGUUCCUGUCCAACGUUAAUCGGGGCAGGGUGAGUCGACCCCUAAGGCGAGGCCGAAAGGCGUAGUCGAUGGGAAACGGGUUAAUAUUCCCGUACUUGGUGUUACUGCGAAGGGGGGACGGAGAAGGCUAUGUUGGCCGGGCGACGGUUGUCCCGGUUUAAGCGUGUAGGUGUGUGUUCCAGGUAAAUCCGGUUCACUUUAACACUGAGGCGUGACGACGAGGCACUACGGUGCUGAAGCAACAAAUGCCCUGCUUCCAGGAAAAGCCUCUAAGCAUCAGGUAACAUCAAAUCGUACCCCAAACCGACACAGGUGGUCAGGUAGAGAAUACCAAGGCGCUUGAGAGAACUCGGGUGAAGGAACUAGGCAAAAUGGUGCCGUAACUUCGGGAGAAGGCACGCUGACACGUAGGUGAAGUGAUUUACUCAUGGAGCUGAAGUCAGUCGAAGAUACCAGCUGGCUGCAACUGUUUAUUAAAAACACAGCACUGUGCAAACACGAAAGUGGACGUAUACGGUGUGACGCCUGCCCGGUGCCGGAAGGUUAAUUGAUGGGGUCAGCGCAAGCGAAGCUCCUGAUCGAAGCCCCGGUAAACGGCGGCCGUAACUAUAACGGUCCUAAGGUAGCGAAAUUCCUUGUCGGGUAAGUUCCGACCUGCACGAAUGGCGUAAUGAUGGCCAGGCUGUCUCCACCCGAGACUCAGUGAAAUUGAACUCGCUGUGAAGAUGCAGUGUACCCGCGGCAAGACGGAAAGACCCCGUGAACCUUUACUAUAGCUUGACACUGAACAUUGAGCCUUGAUGUGUAGGAUAGGUGGGAGGCUUUGAAGUGUGGACGCCAGUCUGCAUGGAGCCGACCUUGAAAUACCACCCUUUAAUGUUUGAUGUUCUAACGUGGACCCGUUACCCGGGUUGCGGACAGUGUCUGGUGGGUAGUUUGACUGGGGCGGUCUCCUCCUAAAGAGUAACGGAGGAGCACGAAGGUUGGCUAAUCCUGGUCGGACAUCAGGAGGUUAGUGCAAUGGCAUAAGCCAGCUUGACUGCGAGCGUGACGGCGCGAGCAGGUGCGAAAGCAGGUCAUAGUGAUCCGGUGGUUCUGAAUGGAAGGGCCAUCGCUCAACGGAUAAAAGGUACUCCGGGGAUAACAGGCUGAUACCGCCCAAGAGUUCAUAUCGACGGCGGUGUUUGGCACCUCGAUGUCGGCUCAUCACAUCCUGGGGCUGAAGUAGGUCCCAAGGGUAUGGCUGUUCGCCAUUUAAAGUGGUACGCGAGCUGGGUUUAGAACGUCGUGAGACAGUUCGGUCCCUAUCUGCCGUGGGCGCUGGAGAACUGAGGGGGGCUGCUCCUAGUACGAGAGGACCGGAGUGGACGCAUCACUGGUGUUCGGGUUGUCAUGCCAAUGGCACUGCCCGGUAGCUAAAUGCGGAAGAGAUAAGUGCUGAAAGCAUCUAAGCACGAAACUUGCCCCGAGAUGAGUUCUCCCUGAGACUUAAAGUCUCCUGAAGGAACGUUGAAGACGA
rnacentral:rRNA from 1 species